rnacentral:misc_RNA from 1 species
GAAAUGCGAUAAGUAAUGUGAAUUGCAGAAUUCAGUGAAUCAUCGAAUCUUUGAACGCACCUUGCGCUCCUUGGUAUUCCGAGGAGCAUGCCUGUUUGAGUGUCAUGGAAUUCUCAACUCUAUUUGCUUUUGUGAAUAGAGCUUGGAUUUGGAGGUUUAUUGCUGGUACUUGUGAUCGGCUCCUCUUGAAUGCAUUAGCUCGAACCUUUGCGGAUCAGCUAUCGGUGUGAUAAUUGUCUACGCCGUUGCAGUGAAGCAUAUCAAUGGGCUCGGCUUCCAAUCGUCCUUUACUGGACAAUGACUUUGACCUUUGACCUCAAAUCAGGUAGGAUUACCCGCCGAACUUAAGC